rnacentral:snoRNA from 1 species
AUCCUCCAGAUUCCUUACCCCUCAGAUCUAAGUAUUGGUCUGUGUGGCUGAAACUGGAGGAAAAGCAAACCUGAAGUGGGCUUUGCAGAAGGCUGGGAGUGACAGUGGAAGCCCAAAAUACACUUAG